AAGGGGGAGAAUGGCUGGAUCCUGAAACGGCAAAUGAAAUGCUGGACCAGGUAUCCGAGUUUCUGGAUCAUUUGGAAACAUUGACUCAGCAGCACGUUCCCCAGGGCUAUAGUGCUCCCUUUGGUAAGGGGCUCAUCUGGCCAUCCACGAUUCUCCAUAACCGAAGAACAGUUGCGUUUUCUGAUAGAAUAUAACUUUUCUACAAGACAAAUGGCGGAAAUCUUGUGUGUGUCCAGGCGAACUGUGAAACGUCGUUUAAGGUGGAGGAUUGUCAUACAUGGUGGAAUUGACAGGUACAGCAGGCUUGUUGUAUUCUUAAAGGCUUCUUCCAACAAUCGCAGUGACACAGUUUUCCAGAGUUUUGUAGAAACCAUUGGCCAAUAUGGUUUACCUUCAAGAGUCCGUUGUGAUAAUGGAGGGGAGAAUAAUGCAGUCUGCCUAUUUAUGAAUGUCUUCCGGGGAUUCACCAGAGGAAGUGCUCUAAGAGGAAGGAGCACACACAACCAGAGAAUUGAGAGAUUGUGGCGGGACGUUUGGUGCGGCAUCUCCAAUACUUACUAUGCCUUAUUCAUGCUUUUGGAAAGUGAAGGUAAAAUUGACAGUACCAAUGAAAUGCACCUUUGGGCAUUACAUUAUGUGUAUAUACCUCGAAUCAACAGGGAUCUCCAACUGUUUAUUCAUCAAUGGAACCACCACAAGCUGAGAACUGAACGGUACAUGUCUCCCAAUCAACUAUUCAUUCGAGGAUGUCUCUCACAGCUAACUUGAAACCAGACAGGGAUACGUGAAAUCCUUGGAGCAGAUGAGGAGCCUGUUGCAGAUGUAAACAUCCCUCCAGCUUCAGAAAAAGUUACACCCCAAGCUUUUCACACAAUUUUCCACUGGCCAGAAUCUGUUGAGGUUCCUGCCAACCACUUCAACAUUCAAGCAGGAGUAAUGGGACAACUUUUAAUUAACAUUUGACGAAAUUAACUAAAUUCAAUUUUUUGUUAUCAAAAGAUUAUCCACAUACACACCAAACUACACACAGAUGUGAAAAAUGUAAAACACCACUCUCGAGUGUCUUUUGCUUGUUCAGUGCAGUGUAUAAGAGUUUAUCACAUGUACAUUUACACUAAUUAAACUGAUGUAUGCACAACUUUUGAAUUUUACAGUUAUUGAACUGAACUGAAUCAAGACUGAAGUGACUUGAGCUGAAUAUUGACACUAUUGGCUUGUUAGAACUGCUUUACAGCAGAAUUUGUUUUGAAUUUGUUACUAUUGUAAAGCUGCUGUGAAACUAGCAAUAUUGUAGCUGGUAUGCAUCUUACUAUGUAUAUUAUCAUUAUUAUGCAUUAUAAAUACUUACACACUAAACAUGCAUAUAAGCUAAGUCAGAAAGUCAACUCUAUUUCUGUGUGUGUGUGUGAGAAUGUGGA